ACAGAUCUUCACCAUCACUGAUGUCAGACCUGAACACAGUGGGAAUUAUUACUGUGAAGCCCAGAACAGAAGAGGACGUCAUAACUCCACCUUAUAUCUGACUGUUGGAUCAGGGAAAUCAGUAAUUAUAAUGAAUAUCAUCAGGGUGAUUCUGGUGGUCCUGAUGCUGAUUGUUCUGCUUCUCUUGAGUCUGUGGUCAAGGAAGAAGAAAACUCUGAGCUCCACCACUGAACUGAAUGAACCUGUAGAGACUAUAGAGUUGGACUCUUCUCCUGUGUAUGAAGUCUCAGACUCGCAGGUCGUCACUGCAGCACAGACAGAAGACACAGAGGAGCAGGAAGACGUGGAGUAAAGUCCAGUUAGGUUGGAGCAUCAUGAAAGGAAGAAAAAACAGGCCGACAUCAGAUUCAUAGUAACAGUUAUGAGAAGUACUUCACCUAAAUUUCAUGUGAUUUUGUUGUGAUGCAGUUGAA